UCACCUAUGCAUGUGGUGAAUGAAAUUACUAAAUCUUUAACGUUCACUCAAAUUUGUAUGCCUACAAUAAAAUGCCUUGAUCAUGGCAUGUUACGUGGUUUAUCCUUUGCUGGAUUUCCUUUGCUGGCAUCUUACGUAGGGUUUUGCAUCUCAGUUACUGAGUGUGCUUGUCCUCUAACUCUUCUUCUACCUUCCUUCUCUAAUUUGUUAUCAUUUUUAAACUAGCCUUAAGGAUCAAGUUAGGGGAGUAUCUCAUGGUUUUCUAAUCUCUGUUGACUAUGUACAAGAUUAAAAUGACUGUUUCUUGCAUGUUUGCUGGAACCUGACUGGAAACGAUCUAGGUCUGCCGUUUUCUUUGUAGGGAGAUCUUGAACUACUGACCCAUUUUAUUUAGUGGUUAAAGGCAUCUUCUGGUGCUAAUUUACUUAGAAAAAAUUCUGAUGCAUGUUCUAGGUUGCUCGAAUCUCAUCUUCAAAUAUUGAUUAUCAGGGCUUGUAGCCUCAUGGAAGGCAAUUCAUCAAUCCCAGAUUUCCCCAAAGUCAGGCUCUGCAACUCUUCCCGGUACCAAAUUCCCUCAUUUAAGACUUAUUUGCAAAGAGACAACAGUAUGCUAUCUGCGCAGUUGUUUAUCCACAACCUUCUUGAGUCCAUAAUGUGAGGAUAUAGUCUUCUAAUACUUUUUUUGUAAUUGUUCUCUUUCUUAUUUUUUUUUUUUUCCUUUUUUCACUGCCAAUACCCCUGCCCCCCGCCAGUCUAGUAGUUUUAAAGUUGUGCGUUUCAGGUUCAAGUCUGUAAUCCAACUGAGCUUCUGUGUGUGCUGCAUGUGUGCAUCAAAAGAACACGCUUCUAGAAGCAGAAAGCAGGCAGUGCGACUGUUGGGUGGUUGGCGGGGGAGGGGGAGGGGAGCUGCUGCUCAGAGAGGGCGCCCGAGGGAGGCAGGAGAUGCCGGGCUGCCCGCCGCAAGCCCGCAGGCUCCAAGGAGGCGGAACCCACGUGCACCAUGAGCCUUUUGAGACAGGCCCAAGCCCACCCAGCUGGGUGCUAACCUCGCAUCCGCCAGGCUUGCAGGUUCCACCAGGACUAGGGGAAGCCUAAGGCCAAGGAGGGCAAGGUCUAGGGUCUGGACCUGAGAACUGGUUCUGCCACUUGUGAUCGCAGCGCUUAUGCUGGAAAGGAGGGCAGGAAGCAUAUCGCAACGUGUGUCCGGACGAUGACCCAGAACGGGGGAGUUGUGGUCACCCACGGACUCUGGGUCUGCAUAUGGAGGCCCCCAGGGUGCAAUUCCAGGAGCAGAAGGCAAAGCCACAGAGGCCAAAGUGCACCUCGCCGAUGCUUCCCAGGGGCAUUUCCCCAAAUAUGGGGAGCAGUCCCUCCUCUGGGCUAGGGACUUUGUUUCCUCCAUUGUCAUCACUGACUGUGAGCAGACUCUAGUCUAUGCAGACUAAUGAGGAGUUAUCAAAAUGAGCUCCAAACUCCGGAUUUGAGUUAAGGAUCAUAAAUUAACACAGAGAAAUAUGACUUUAGCAAUAAGUGACUGUUUGAAGCCCAAGUUGCCUUAAAACACGGAAUUUCAGUCUUUCAGCUCCUCUGCUAAUCUAGUGACUAAGAACAGGAUCUCACUGGAGCUCAAAGAUGUGGGGCACUGGGAAUACUCUGGGUCUGUCUGCUCACGGCUGAUUGCCUGAUCCCAGUUUUAUUAUACAGCUUAAAUACAGACCAGAAGAGGAGUUUGGGGCUUGACACCUGACAUCUUAACACCAGUUCCUGUUUCUUGAGGAAGGAAGAGGUAAAAUAAAUCAGCAUUUACUGUGUCCUUCUCCAUCCCCGGAAGUCUUCAUGAAGACCCUCUCAGCUUCUACUUGAACGUGAAUAUGAGCAACUGAUCAUCUGUUCUGCAGUCAGCCCCUGGCCUGAUUCUGACUCAUGGUAUUGACCUUCUCCAUCAUCACCUUCCACAAAUUUGAUUCCUAUCUAUUCUGCCUGGAAUGGUUCACGAGUAUAGUCACCAUUUAUGUUCCUGACGAAAGCAGGUGAAGGCAUUCGUGCAGAGAGGCGAUUUCCAUGCGUGCAGCAAAGUGUGUGCUGAGAUGAUGAGUCGCUGGAGACCAGGGUGGACUCUUCAGACCCAGGAUAGGCCUCUGGCAGGUAUGUGUCAAUGUUUUCUGCCCAUGGCACUCACCCGGGUAUUUGCAUAGAAUGUCAUCAGCGGAAUUAGUAGUCUCCGGAGAGGCUGCCACAUGUCAACAAGCUUCACCUGGCCAGAGUACACCCGUGAUGUAGCUCCCCAAUCAGUCACCUUCCCCCUUUGCUCUUUCGUCUCUAGGCACUCUAUCAGGCACUCCAAGCUGGGAAGUGACUCAGGGAGAGAAGGAAGAGAUUUCAGAGAAUGAACACAUAUAGAGAGAGAGGCAAGAGAUGCUGAGUGAGGAUGUCUUGCGUACUGAUAUCCUGAGGAAAGUGGGAAAAUUGGACCCUGGCCUGCUCUGCCAAUGCCGUGAAGCAGUCCGCACCAGGGGCUCCCUUGUGCCUGCGUAGCCUUUCCCAGGGUGUGCUCAAAUCCUGUGACCACUAGGUGUCCUAGGUCACAAUGGAGGACCCUGUGUCAUCUGCCUGGCGGACUGGAUCUCUGCCAUUGGCUGAGUCUUGUCACCAGGCCCAUCAUAAGCUCUGCCCACUCUUCCGGUGGGGAGACUCUUUCCAUGGUGAUGGCAAAGAAACCUUAGUCCCGCCCACCUGGCCUUGACUUCACCUACCUGGCCUGCUGACCCUCACUCAGACCUCUGUGUCGAUCAAAAUGAAUGUUCACCAGUGGCCCGGUGUCAGCAUCUGGUAUAAAGGAUUCGGGACCUUGCCUGAGGCAGAAGGCAGCCUAGGUCUGCGGGUACCUGGAAGUCUAGUGACUUGUGACGCUGCUGCCAGUGAGAAAUGGUGACUCCCACACUCACAUAUCCCCUGGUGGCAGAAUGAUAGUGAUGGGUGGAGAAACAUCGCUCCGGAGCACUCGCGCAGUGGGGCACCGGCCAGAGGCCAGGGCCAGUAGUGGACGUCGCGGAGCUGAAUGGCGAGCCAGUGAAGGGCCCAAGGAUUUCUCCAAUGAGGCAAAAUGCAGAUCAAGCCAAGGAACAUAAAGAUAAAGCAGCUGAAGAAAUUAAAAAGGUUACUCAAGAACAUAGUUAAAAAUUUAAUAAGCUGCAAGAAACCAUAGAGAGACUGCAAUCAGAGAUUCAGAAGAUUAACAAUAAAAUUACAGAGUUAGAAAACUCAAUAGAAAGUAAGAAGAGCACAACUGAGGAAUUGGAAGGCAGAAUUACUGAGAUUGAAGAUGAAACUCUUGGGACUAAUAUAUUUGAAGAGAAAGCAGAUAAAAGAAAUUUAAAUGAAGAAAUCCAAAGAAUCAUGUGGGACUUUAUCAAGAGAAAUAACUAUGAGUGAUUUCAGUACCAGAACAGGGAGGGCUAACAGAAAAUACAAAGGGAACUGUUGAAGAUUUGUUGGCAGAAAACUUCCAUGAUAUCAUGAAAGAUGCUCAUCGAAUUCCACAUAAGGUAGAUCUCAAAAGAAAGUGACCGAGACACAUAAUAAUCAAACUUGCCAAAAUCAAAUAUAAAGAGAAUUUUAAGAGAGGCUAGGGAUAAAGGAAGUCACCAACAAAGGAGAGUAAAUAAUAAAAAACUUGGACUACUCAGCAGAAAUCAUGCAGGCAAGAAGGCAAAGGGAUGACUUACACAAAAUAUUGAAGGAAAAAAAUUGCCAGCCAGGAAUCAAACCAUAACCCUGGCCCUCUGGCCUUCGGGCCCUCUGGCCUUAGCCCUCUAACUCUAGCCCCUAAGCCCUGAGCCCCAAAGCCCCUAAGACCCUAAGCCCUUAGGUCCUAACCCCCAAGGCCCUAAACUCUAACCCUAACCCAAACCGUAACCCCUAUAGCCUAAACUCUACAACCUAAACACCUACACCCCAAAACACUACACAUCAAAACCCUACACACUAAACCCUAUACUCUAAGCCUCAAACCCUAAACCCAAACCUCAAAUCCCAAACCCUAAACCUAACCGUAAACCCUAAACCCUAACACCUAACCCUAACCCCUAACCACCCUAACCCUAAUGACCCUAACCCUAACCCUCGAACCCUAACCCUCUAACGCUAACAUGAAACCCUAAUCCGAAACCCUAACCCUCUAACUCUAACCUCUAACCCUCUAACCCUAGCCCUAAUCCUAACCCCAACCUCCAAACCUAACCCCAAACCCUAAACCUCAAAUCCCUAGCCCUAAACCUAAGAAUGAGCCUAAGCCUAACCCUAUCACUUAACUCUAAACCCUAAACCAUAACA